AUGCUUAAGUAGUAUUUGUUAUAUCCAUGAAACUUAAAGAAUUUGGCGGUAUUUUAAUCUUUUCAGAGGAACCUGUUCUAUAAUCGAUAUUCCACGUUAAAUUUUACUAAAUUUUAUUAUUUGUAUACCGUUGUCGAAAGAAUAUUUUUAAAAAAUAUAAAUUUUCUAAAAUUUUUAUUUAAAUUAAUGUCAAAUCAAGGUGCAGUUAAUGAUUUAGUAGAAAUGGGUUACAAUAAAAUUAUUUAAAUGAAUAUUUAAUUGAAUAAUUAUUUUGAAGGUGGAUUUGAAAGUAAAUUAAUUUUAAAAAAUUUAAUUGAUAUAAGUUCUAAAAUAUGU
rnacentral:rRNA from 1 species